rnacentral:sRNA from 1 species
UGCAGCAGGUUUGAGUUGAGCGCAGCGAAACAACGGAGCCGCUCGCGGCGACGGCCCGAAGGGCGAGCGAAGCGAGUCAUCCUGCACGACCCACCA